GCCAGGCAUGGUGGCGGGUGCCUGUAAUCCCAGCCACUCAGGAGGCUGAGGCAGGAGAAUUGCUUGAACCCGGGAUGUAGAGGUUGUAGUGAGCCGAGAUUGCGCCACUGCACUCUAGCCUGGGUGACACAGUGAGACUCUGUCUCAA
ensembl:misc_RNA Metazoa_SRP Metazoan signal recognition particle RNA